rnacentral:RNase_P_RNA from 1 species
UGAGCAAAACAGACAGUCGCGGGGAAAGUAAUUUUUUACUUUUCAUGAGGAAAGUCCGGGCUUCACAGAGCAAGGGUGCCGGUUAACGACCGGUGGAGGCAACUCUAAGGAUAGUGCAACAGAAAAGAACCGCCGAGAUUUUCGGUAAGGAUGAAAAGGCGAGGUAAGAGCUCACCGGCAAUCCGGAGACGGGUUGGCCGUGUAAACCCCACCCGAAGCAACACAAGACUGCACGAUAGCUUGCUCGGCUGUGCGAAUUGUGGCUUGAGGUAAUCAGCAAUGGUUAUCCUAGAUAGAUGGCUGUCAGAUACAGAACCCGGCUUAUAGUUUUGCUCAAAUC